rnacentral:rRNA from 1 species
GACGAACGCUGGCGGCGUGCUUAACACAUGCAAUUCGAACGGAAAGGCCUGCUUUCCCUUGUGGUUUUCGGGUACUCUAGUGGCGAACGGGUGCUUAACACGUUAGUGAUCUGCCCCCAACUUGGGUAUAAGCCUGGGAUACUGGGUCUAAUUCCCGAUAGGCCUGCAGGGUGGUGCCUGUCUUGGAAUUCGAUUUUCUAGUGUUUGGGGAUGAGCUCGCGGCCUAUCAGCUUGUUGGUGGGGUAAUGGCCUACCAAGGCGUCGACGGGUAGCCGGCCUGGGAGGGUGGACGGCCACAUUGGGACAGAGAUACGGCCCAGACUCCUACGGGAGGCAGCAGUGGGGAAAAUAGCACGAUGGGAGGAAGCAUGAAGCAGCGACGCCGCGUGGGGGAUGACGGGCGUCGGGGUGUAAACUCAUGUCGAACGCGAGGAAGCGACAGGGUUGGAAGGGUGGUGACGGUAGUGGUAGAAGAAGCACCGGCUAACUAAGUG